rnacentral:rRNA from 1 species
GACGAACGCUGGCGGCGUGCUUAACACAUGCAAGUCGAACGGAAAGGCCCUGCUUUUUUGCUCUUCUGGAUUGCGGAAGGCGUAAGUAACACGUGUGUAACCUGCCCUUCUUUUUCGUAUAACUUCAGGAAACUGGGGUUAAUACCGUAUAGGAUCCCCUCUUCCAUUGUGGGGGUUGGAAAGUCUCGGCGGUUGGGGUUGGAUGCGCGGCUUAUCAGCUUGUUGGUUGGGUAGUGGCAUACCAAGGCUGUGAAGGGUAGGCGGCCUGAGAGGGUGGCCGGCGACAUUGGGACUGAGGUACGGACCAGACUCCAACGGGAGGCAGCAGUGGGGAAUAUUGCACAAUGGGCGGAAGCCUGAUGCAGCAACGCCGCGUGCGGGAUGACGGCCUUCGGGUUGAGAACCGCUUUCGCCUGUGACGAAGCGUGAGUGACGGUAAUGGGUAAAGAAGCACCGGCUAACUACGUG